GUAACAGACUCAGCAGAUGAACGCAUCCGCUGCGCUGGCCAUAGACUGGUGGGGCCCCACGUCUCCGCGCAUGCCAGCCGCCUGCUCCCGCGAUUCCUCCCAUGGGCGCUCGGUGCGCUGGCCGGGUGGCGGGAUCUCCUCCUUAUUCGCCCGUGUAACAAACCUCCCACUCGUCGGGUCUAUCUAUAACCGGGUUUGGGCAUGGGGCGAUAAAGGCAGGGACCUCCAAACCCCACCCUCCAUCUUCCAGAAGCCCUCAUCUCCCUUACCGCCACUCCCAGCCCUGAGGCUGACACCCUCUCCCAUGGAGCCUUGAGCGCCAGAAACAGCCCUGUCAUGGUGCCGCGCCGCAGCAUGGGCAACGCUGCUGUCGCCACCGGGAGCGGCCGGACGGAGGAAGCUUUCGUCGUUCGGUUGGGGCGUUAUCCCGGCGCCAUAACCGUGCCCCUCUGCUCGACUCUUUCUUCCCCGCGCUCUUCUCUCCCAACUUCGGUCGCGGGUGUCGGGGUCCAGACUCUGCACUGCACGGAGAAGUACAGGUGGUUCAAGAGGAGCCACACAACGAGGAGUUCGAUUUGAUCUAGGUGGCGUCUCCCAGUUGACUUUCUGGCGCCAAGAACGAUCCUUAGUUCGUUUUAUAUUUAUAAUUUAUUUUGUAAGUCUUCCGAUAUGUAAUAAAAAUCUGAUUAUAUCGUGACAUUUAUCUCUAUACACUCUGUUAUUAUAUAUGUUGUCUUCUUUGGCGCAUGUAUGAGAUGCACCCGGCUUUGUCCCUUAAAAUCGGGUGUGACAGCAUUUAACUCAUCAUUUAAAUUAUUUAAGCUA